rnacentral:rRNA from 1 species
AUUGAACGCUGGCGGCAGGCCUAAUACAUGCAAGUCGAGCGAGCGGCGGACGGGUGAGUGAUGUCUGGGAAACUGCCUGACGGAGGCGGAUAACGGCUGGAAACGGUGGCUAAUGCCGCUUACCAUCAGAUGUGCUCACGGGGGAUUAGCGAGCAGGUGGGGUAACGGCUCACCUAGGCGUCGAGCCCUAGCCGGUCUGAGAGGAUGACCGGCAACACUGGAACUGAGACACGGCCCAGACUCCUACGGGAGGCAGCAGUGGGGAAUAUUGCGCAAUGGACGCAAGCCUGAUGCAGCCAUGCCGCGUGUGUGAAGAAGGCCUUCGGGUUGUAAAGCACUUUCGGCGGGGAGGCGUUACUCAAAGAAAAAGCACCGGCUAACUCCGUGCCAGCAGCCGCGGUAAUAC